AAUGGGUUGCAGCCUGCUGGGCCAGGGAGUAAUGAGAGGGCUAACUUUCUGUUGAGGUGGUGCAGCAGCCCAAAGCCUAAACUGUGAUUCAGUGAGUUACUAGACAGGUAAUAGACCCACAUACGGCCCACAGAGCCACAGCAAGCUUUCGGAUUGAAACAAAGGAGGAAGGAGGAAGGGGACUUCUGUCCAUGCUUUGACCUCAGUAGUGAAGGGGAACUGGCUCCCUUGAAGACAAGAUGGCAGCGGUGUGAGACGGAAAGAAUUAAGGACCUGUUCUGUCAGCAUCAGCCAUGCUCCUGAAAACAGACACUUCAGGGAAAAUUAACUGGACACACUCACCUGAGAACUUGGUCCUCUUCUCAAGAAGUAAUUCACCGGAUGCUUGAUUCAAUGUUUAUUUUGUUAUAGCUUCUUUGUAUUUGACCACCAAUUACACCC
ensembl:lncRNA